CGUAAGUAGGUUCGCGAAACGGAAGGCGCAGGCAGGUUCGGAUGGCGACUUCGACUGUUCGGCGGACGAUUCUUCAAGGAAAUCAAACGAGCUAUUGAAUUUGAGGUUAAAAUUGUGAGAAGUCAGCCUUUGAUGGGGCUUAUGGGGUGCCCUCUUCUCCAUGUGGCAUGAAUUCUCCACAGCCGUCCACUACAUGGCCGCUUGUGUUGGCAACAUGGUUCUUCAGGCAUUCUCGGUAGCGAAUUAAGGUCGUUGGAUCAGUAUCAGCAAAUCUUUGAGGCAAUACUUGCUAGGUUGUAGCUUUGUUGUUUAGUGAGGAUGGAUCAAGAUCUGUGUUUGAAGGACCUUCAUGCAUAUGAUGAUGCUGUAAUUCUUUUUCCCUCUGGGAAUCCAUCUGAUCAAGGGUUUGCUGGGAUGAUGAUUCUUGGGCCUGCAGGUUGAUUCUUGAAGGUGGAUGUGGACUGAAGCCAUAGACCUUGGAAUCCCUUCAAACUUCUCUUUGCUUCUGGACUCCAUUGAUGCUAAAUCAAGUAACCCUUUUGCUCUUGAAUUCAACUUAGGUAGUGAUGAGACUUAGCUCCACUAACAACCGACAUCCUCCUCUUCGUCCUGUUGUGCAGCCUACACUCUUACUGCCAUUACUGCUUUCUCUUUCUCUUUCUUUCUUUGUUUCUCCUCCCCCACCUAAGUGGGUAGUGGGGGAGUUGAUGGGAUGUUACCUUUGGUUUGCCUGGCUGUAUUGGAAUUUCAACAAAUAUGGAUAAUGGAACCUUAAUUAAGCGUGUUUUA